GAUGAACGCUGGCGGCGUGCCUAAUACAUGCAAGUCGAGCGAACGGACGAGAAGCUUGCUUCUCUGAUGUUAGCGGCGGACGGGUGAGUAACACGUGGAUAACCUACCUAUAAGACUGGGAUAACUUCGGGAAACCGGAGCUAAUACCGGAUAAUAUUUUGAACCGCAUGGUUCAAAAGUGAAAGACGGUCUUGCUGUCACUUAUAGAUGGAUCCGCGCUGCAUUAGCUAGUUGGUAAGGUAACGGCUUACCAAGGCAACGAUGCGUAGCCGACCUGAGAGGGUGAUCGGCCACACUGGAACUGAGACACGGUCCAGACUCCUACGGGAGGCAGCAGUAGGGAAUCUUCCGCAAUGGGCGAAAGCCUGACGGAGCAACGCCGCGUGAGUGAUGAAGGUCUUCGGAUUGUAAAACUCUGUUAUUAGGGAAGAACAUAUGUGUAAGUAACUGUGCACAUCUUGACGGUACCUAAUCAGAAAGCCACGGCUAACUACGUG
rnacentral:rRNA from 1 species